GACGAACGCUGGCGGCGUGCUUAACACAUGCAAGUCGAACGGAAAGGCACUGCUUUUGUGCGGUGCCCGAGUGGCGAUCGGGUGAGUAACACGAGAGUAACCUGACCUUGACUUUGGGAUAACCUCACGAAACGGGGGCUAAUACAAGAUAGGAGCUCCUCCAGAAAGGAGGGGGAUGGAAAGUUUCGGCGGUGGCGGAUGGACUCGCGGCUUAUCAGCUCGCUGGUGGGGUAGGGGAGUACCAAGGCUUUGACGGGUCGCCGACCUGGGAGGGUGACCGGCCACAUUGCGCCUGAGAUACGGCCCAGUCUCCAACGGUAGGCAACGGUGGGGAGUAUUAUACAGUGGGCGGGAGCCUGAUGCGACGGCGCCGCGUGCGGGAAGACGUCCUUCGGGUUGUAAACCGCAUUCGCCUGUGACGAAGCGUGAGUGACGGUACUGUAUGAAGAAGCACCGGCUAACUACGUG
rnacentral:rRNA from 1 species